GGACGUGAUAAGCUGCGAUAAGCUUCGGGGAGUUGCACGUAAACUUUGAUCCGAAGAUUUCCGAAUGAGGAAACUCACUUAGAGUAAUGUCUAAGUAUCAUUAAGUGAAUACAUAGCUUAAUGAGGGGAACUCAGGGAACUGAAACAUCUAAGUACCUGAAGGAAGAGAAAGAAAUUCGAUUCCGUAAGUAGCGGCGAGCGAACGCGGAUUAGCCCAAACCAAUAAAGUUUUCUUUAUUGGGGUUGCGGACAUAUCAUAACGAAGAGGUAUCGUAAUUGAAGAGGUUUGGAAAGACCCACCACAGAAGGUAAUAGUCCUGUAUGUUAAACGAGAAGACUUUAGAUAUGAUCCAGAGUACCACGGGACACGUGAAACCCUGUGGGAAGCAGGAGGGACCACCCUCCAAGGCUAAAUACUACCUAGUGACCGAUAGCGUAUAGUACCGUGAGGGAAAGGUGAAAAGAACCCCGGGAGGGGAGUGAAAUAGAACCUGAAACCCUGCACUUACAAGCUGUGGAAGCACAUUUCUUGUGUGACCGCGUACUUUUUGUAGAACGGGCCAACGAGUUACGUUAAGUAGCAAGGUUAAGCACUUAAGGUGCGGAGCCGUAGCGAAAGCGAGUUUUAACUGAGCGUUCAGUUACUUGACGUAGACCCGAAACCGGGCGACCUACCCAUGAGCAGGAUGAAGCGAAAGUAAAAUUUCGUGGAGGUCCGAACCCACGAGCGUUGAAAAGCUCGGGGAUGACUUGUGGGUAGCGGUGAAAUUCCAAUCGAGCCCGGAGAUAGCUGGUUCUCCCCGAAAUAGCUUUAGGGCUAGCCUCAAGGUGAGAGAUACGGAGGUAGAGCACUGAAUGUCCUAGGGGGUAUUGCACCUACCGAAGACUAUCAAACUCCGAAUGCCGUCAUCUUAUACUUGGGAGUCAGACUGUGGGUGAUAAGAUUCAUAGUCGAAAGGGCAACAGCCCAGAUCGUCAGCUAAGGUCCCUAAAUGUAAGUUAAGUGGUAAAGGAUGUGGGAUUGCACAGACAACCAGGAUGUUGGCUUAGAAGCAGCCACUCAUUCAAAGAGUGCGUAAUAGCUCACUGGUCGAGUGAUCCUGCGCCGAAGAUUUCCGGGGCUAAAACUUACUACCGAAGCUACGGCAUCAGUAAUGAUGGGUAGGGGAGCUUCCCAUACGGGUUGAAGCAUGACCGUAAGGACAUGUGGACAGUAUGGGAGUGAGAAUGUUGGCAUGAGUAGCGAGAUGUGGGUGAGAAUCCCACAGGCCGUAAACCCAAGGUUUCCAGGGGAAGGUUCGUCCGCCCUGGGUUAGUCGGGACCUAAGCUGAGGCCGAAAGGCGUAGGUGAUGGACAACAGGUUGAUAUUCCUGUACUACCGAUAACCGUUUGAGAGAAGGGAUGACACAGUAGGAUAAGCUAAGCACACUGUUGGUUAUGUGUGCCCAAGCAUUGAGGCAGUCAAAGUAGGCAAAUCCGCUUUGAUAAUGCUGGGAUGUGAUGGGGAGCGAAAUUUAGUAGCGAAGUAGCUGAUUUCACACUGUCAAGAAAAGUCUCUAUCGAGGUUAAAGGUACCCGUACCGCAAACCGACACAGGUGGGUGAGGAGAGUAUCCUAAGGCCAGCGAGAGAACUGUUGUUAAGGAACUCGGCAAAAUGACCCCGUAACUUAGGGAUAAGGGGUGCCACCAUCAGGUGGCCGCAGAGAAUAGGCCCAAGCGACUGUUUACCAAAAACAUAGGUUUCUGCUAAGUCGCAAGACGAUGUAUAGGAGCUGACGCCUGCCCGGUGCUGGAAGUUCCGACCCGCACGAAAGGCGUAACGAUUUGGGCACUGUCUCAACAACAGACUCGGUGAAAUUGUAAUUCCGGUGAAGAUGCCGGAUACCUGCGACAGGACGGAAAGACCCCAUGGAGCUUUACUGUAGCUUGACAUUGGGUCUUGGUACUACAUGUACAGGAUAGGUGGGAGGCUUUGAAACCAGGACGCCAGUUUUGGCGGAGCCAUCCUUGGGAUACCACCCUUGUAGUACUGGGACUCUAACCAUAGGCCAUGAAUCUGGUCUUGGGACACUGUCAGGUGGGCAGUUUGACUGGGGCGGUCGCCUCCCAAAAGGUAACGGAGGCGCUCAAAGGUUCUCUCAGUACGGUCGGAAAUCGUACGUAGAGUGUAAAGGCAAAAGAGAGCUUGAUUGCAAGACAUACAGGUCGAGCAAGGAUGAAAAUCGGACUUAGUGAUCCGGUGGUUCUGCGUGGAAGGGCCAUCGCUCAACGGAUAAAAGCUACCCUGGGGAUAACAGGCUUAUCUCCCCCAAGAGUCCACAUCGACGGGGAGGUUUGGCACCUCGAUGUCGGCUCAUCACAUCCUGGGGCUGUAGUAGGUCCCAAGGGUUGGGCUGUUCG
rnacentral:rRNA from 1 species